AUGAAUACUUUUUUUUUUUUUUUUUUUUUUUUUCUGUGUCCAGUUCUGCAGUCCUCUUGGUCCCCCUUGGGUUUUUCCCUCCUAUAUAUUUCAAUAAAUAAACACAUGCAUGAAUACUUUUUUUUUUUUUUUUUUUUUUUUCUGUGUCCAGUCUGCAGUCCUCUUGGUCCCCCCUUGGGUUUUUCCCUCCUAUAUAUUUCAAUAAAUAAACACAUGCAUGAAUACUUUUUUUUUUUUUUUUCUGUGUCCAGUCUGCAGUCCUCUUGGGCCUCCAGUGAGUUUUCCCUCCUAUAUAUUUCAAUAAAUAAACACAUGCAUAAAUGCUUUUUUUUUUUUUUUUUUUUUUUUCUGUGUCCAGUCUGCAGUCCUCUUGGUCCUCCAUUGGGUUUUCCCUCCUAUAUAUUUCAAUAAAUAAACACAUGCAUAAAUACUUUUUUUUUUUUUCU
ensembl:lncRNA